rnacentral:rRNA from 1 species
AAUCAACGCUGGCGGCGUGCCUAACACAUGCAAGUCGAACGCGAAAGCCCCGCAAGGGGUAAGUAGAGUGGCGCACGGGUGAGUAACACGUGGAUAACCUGCCUUUGAGUGGGGAAUAACCUUCCGCAAGGAGGGCUAAUACCGCAUAACACCUUUAGGCAAAAGUCGAAAGGGUUAAAAGGAGCGAUUCGCUUAAAGAGGGGUCCGCGCCUGAUUAGCUAGUUGGUGAGGUAACGGCUCACCAAGGCUUCGAUCAGUAGCCGUCCUGAGAGGGAGCACGGCCACACUGGAACUGAGACACGGCCCAGACUCCUACGGGAGGCAGCAGUGGGGAAUCUUGCGCAAUGGGCGAAAGCCUGACGCAGCGACGCCGCGUG